GCCCAGAUAGCUCAGCGGUAGAGCACUUGCAUGGUAAGCAAGCGGUCGGAGGUUCAAUUCCUCUUUUGGGCA
rnacentral:tRNA from 1 species